rnacentral:rRNA from 1 species
AACGAACGCUGGCGGCAGGCUUAACACAUGCAAGUCGAACGCCCCGCAAGGGGAGUGGCAGACGGGUGAGUAACGCGUGGGAACAUACCCUUUUCUACGGAAUAGCUCUGGGAAACUGGAAUUAAUACCGUAUACGCCCUACGGGGGAAAGAUUUAUCGGGGAAGGAUUGGCCCGCGUUGGAUUAGCUAGUUGGUGGGGUAAAGGCCUACCAAGGCGACGAUCCAUAGCUGGCCUGAGAGGAUGAUCAGCCACAUUGGGACUGAGACACGGCCCAAACUCCUACGGGAGGCAGCAGUGGGGAAUAUUGGACAAUGGGCGCAGGCCUGAUCCAGCCAUGCCGCGUGAGUGAUGAAGGCCUUAGGGUUGUAAAGCUCUUUCACCGAUGAAGAUAAUGACGGUAGUCGGAGAAGAAGCCCCGGCUAACUUCGUGCCAGCAGCCGCCGUAACAC